UACGUAGGGGGCAAGCGUUGUCCGGAUUUAUUGGGCGUAAAGAGCGUGUAGGCGGCCUUACAGGUCAGCUGUGAAAACUCGAGGCUCAACCUCGAGACGUCGGUUGAAACCGUAAGGCUAGAGUCCGGAAGAGGUGCGUGGAAUUCCCGGUGUAGCGGUGAAAUGCGCAGAUAUCAGGAAGAACACCCGUGGCUAAGGCGGUUCUCUAGUACGGUACUGACGCUGAGACGCGAAAGCGUGGGGAGCGAACAGG
rnacentral:rRNA from 1 species